GAGCCAAGAUGGCGGCCCCAAUUGAUGAGAGUAUGAGAAAACAUAUCAUUAUCGCCUUACUUAACACUAAGAGUGACGCCAACGUCCUCUGAAAUGUAGUUGGCUCGCUCGCCUGUUUAAAAGUUCUUCCAUUAUUCACGAUGCGACAGUCGCGCUGAAUCACACUCAAACAAGAAGCGCUUUUUAGCCUGCUAGCUGACGUUAGCUCAACGGCGGAAGCUAACAUGAGCAGUCCGGCAGGGGCCACGCUCUCGCGGUGACGUCUCAGCGAAUUAAGCAAUUAGAUAGAAAAUACAAAUAUGGUGCAGGUUACAAAUUGUUGAAGACAAGACGUGGAAAAAGACGUUUCUAAUGAGGAACGAAACGCCAUAAUUGGACAGAUAAGUUUACAGGCGGGUUGAAAACAAACCCUUGUCAUGUGACCUGCCAUGGCGCCACUGCUGUCAGGAGACAACCAUCACAACACAGAUGUUGUUAAGGGAUCCCACACAUAGGCAGACGGCCAGCAGCCCACCGCGUUAGCCACACACGGCGGAGAGGGCGGGACAUGAGACCAUCUCAGACAGGCUGCCUAGCAACCGGAGCAGAACAGAGAUUGCAGUGCCACAGUAUCGGCCCUGGAUCACAUUUCACUGAGGCAGCAAGCGAGCAAGAGAAGGAAUGAAAUAGAGAUGGAUAUGUAGAAGCAGGGUGGGAUGGAUGGACA